AGGUAACAAUAUUGGGUACAUGAUGUUCUACGUAAAUAUUUUUACAAUGGCAUUCAUCCCUAGAUGGUGUUAUACAUUUGAUUCAUAUACAGAAAUAAAACCGACUACAAACAUAUGAAAUUAUGGGACCAGCCCAUAAUAUUUAUGUUACAAUGUAUAUAGAUACUAUCCCAUAGACAAGAUGUUACAAACCAGACUUGUAAAUAUCCCAAAAACAUCACAUUCAC